AAUGAGAAGAGUGUAUUGAUCAUCAUUCUUCCAUCUGUUGCCAUCAUAAUCAACACCAACAUUCAACAUUAAUAUGGAAGUAAAGGUCCAAAACUGUAUGCCUUGUGCUUUGACAUUAUCACGCAAGAAACUGAUUUUUCAUUGCAUAGAGGAAAGAUUUUAGGCCUUCAACUCAAUGUUAGUUAACCAUAACCCUCUUGAUUUGUGGACAACUACUGGAGGGAAAACGUACGGAUGUGCAAGCGAAUAGGAA
rnacentral:misc_RNA from 1 species